GAAGAGCAGCGGCCCGCGUGACUGCGCGGUGGGAAACGUUGUGUGACUGAAGUGUGUAGGACUCAUUCUGUGCAGUUUGUUGCAAGCUUUAGUUCUAAAGACGCUGAACUUCAGGAGUGAACUUCACUGUGGAGGUCAAAGGUGCUGAGACGUCUCCUCUUUCAGUCCGUCUGUCUCCUCUGGAUGAAAUGUGGACGUUGCUGUCCUCUAAAGAGCCUCCUUUAGUCCUCCAGGUCCAGGUCCAGGUCCAGGUCCAG